UCCCUGGUGGUCCAGUGGUUAGGACUCCGUGCUUCGAAUGCGGGGGCACAGGUUCGAUCCCUCGUCAGGGAA